UACGUAGGGUCCGAGCGUUGUCCGGAAUUAUUGGGCGUAAAGAGCUCGUAGGCGGUUUGUCGCGUCUGCUGUGAAAUCCCGAGGCUCAACCUCGGGCCUGCAGUGGGUACGGGCAGACUGGAGUGCGGUAGGGGAGAAUGGAAUUCCUGGUGUAGCGGUGGAAUGCGUAGAGAUCAUGAGGAAGACCAGUGGCGAAGGCGGGUCUCUGGACAGUUCCUGACACUGAGGCACGAAGGCCAGGGGGAGCAAACGGG
rnacentral:rRNA from 1 species